rnacentral:lncRNA from 1 species
AUGCACACACACACACACACACACACACACACACACACAGAGCAUGUUACCAACAGCUUUUUAUUUAACUUUCUCCCUGCCCAGAGCUUCUCUUCACUGACUGUCUGGGACAAGCCAGCGCCGUGGAGCUGUCUCUUUUUCAUUUCUCAGCCUCACUGGCCAUUCCAGUCCUCAAGAAAUAUUUGCUUGAUGUGACUUCUUGGAACCAAAUGUUGGUACCCAACUGAAAGGGAUGGAGCCCUCCGAACUUGGAAGUUCCGCUGAGGAUGAGGGCGGCCGCCAUUUUGAAACGAACAGACUCCAAAAGCACGCUCCACUGGGCCUGCCCCUGCGAUCUUAAAACAGAUGUCCGUGAAAUGUGACCCAUGAAUAGCAGUUAUCUGGAGAGAGAGCUCUGAAGCUGAUGAAACCAUUAGAGCCACUGAAGGCACCUGGUAAAUGCGAUGCGGGGAGUACAGAAGAGAGAAUCAGAAACACACCGGCACUCUCAUUCCCAUGAGGCCACUUACAGUGGGUAAAACGUCGCUUGAGAAGAGCGGCCUAAAAACAAGAACGUCUGCCCUCUUCCUUCUUAACCAAGACUGAGAUGAGGACAAGUCAGACCCUUCAGACCCAUCGUUUCAGGGACCAGCAGCUCCAGCCUGAAUGAGAAGCACGUCCUCCUGGGAGUUACGUCAGCAGCCUGACCUUCCAUCUUCCUCCUCUAAAGAAGCGUCCCUGCCACCCUGAGCACGAAGCCCUCGGGUUCCUAAAGGCCGAGGCGCUUCUUCUCAUUUACUUCCCUUGAGGAAGAAAGACCAGCCCAUCCACCCUCAUUUCCCACCGAAGGGCAUCGCAAAUAAAGUUUGCCCACGCAACCAGGCCACCACCAUUAAUUUCUCUCUGCCCUGCUCUUACAUUCUCCUCAAGGUUUUCAGUCCCCUAGAGAGGCUCCCUUCCCUCUUUUCUUUCCUUCCUCCAGCCCCCCUUUUCACCUCCCUCCACCAUUGUUUGAGGUUAAGAAGCAUGCUACGGUGUUCUAUAAAUCACUUGGCAAGAGUAGACGACAAAAGCAAAAUAUAAUUCAGAUUAAAGUCAUCCUCCCGCUGAAAUGAUAGUUUCUUAAAUAAAUGGCGAUGCUGCCUAUCAAUCUUGCUGGCAACUGGUCCUCUCAUAUUCAUCUUUCUGGGGGUGAUUUAGGAUCCACCUGGGUCCUCCGAGAAGAUUCUCCCAUCAUUUCCUUCCCGUCUCUCUGGAUCUUGCUGCUGGGCUUGGCGCAGUUGACAAAUUCUCCAAGUAAUCCCUCAAAAGAUUGGAGAAAUGCUCCGAACGCUCCAUUAAACUUAUUUUCCAUGCUUUAAGAGACCCAAAACUAUGUCCAAUAAAUAAGUGUUCCCUGUGA